UGCCCCACCCCCACACAGGUUCUGCUGUAUACCCCUGUGAGAUCUUUGGAGGGCUCUGCUGAGGAAGGGGAGUGGGUCCCCACUGCACAGUUCCUGAUGUGAGAAAUACGUCCCCAGCUUGACUUCCUCUAACCUCUGCUCAGCCCUCCUAGCGUCCAUGCUGGCCCCUUGGAUGGGACACAGGGGACAGGGUAUAACCCAACCUCCUCAGGACGGGCUUGCUCUGUGACCACUCCCCUCUCUGCCAGGAGAUGUCCCUCCAGUUCCCUCUUCUUCAGCUCAGGCUGGUGUAUCUGCUUGUCAGAAUUCCAACUGUGGAAAGAGAUGCCAGUUUCCCCUUCUGGUAGGUUCCCCCACUCUGGAUAGACCUUCCUCUUAGAGCUCUUCUCACUAGGCUUAGAGGGCACGGGGACACCUCUCUCCUCUGCCACAUGCUCUCCUCAAUGGCUCAGACAGUUCUCAGCCCUUCCCAACACCAAUCUUCUGCCUGUGCAGACAGGUAGCUGACUGGGCAGGGCAGGACUCAUUACCUCUUGGUCAAUCCUGAACAAAGUAUCUGGCUCCAUUCUCAGCAGCUUUCUCUUGAGAAUGUUUGGUACUUAGUACCUACAUGAAAUUGCCACUUAACAUCUUGUUACACGAAUAUUAUCUUCCAACAGUCCCAGAAAGUUACCACAGUUAAGGAGGGAAGAGACCACCUCAUGCAUCACUUAUUUUAUUUUUAGAAAUCCAUAUAAAAUUUUUUUCAAUGAAGAAAAAAAACCUACCUCUAGUCACAUACACUGAAGAGGCUUUGUAUAUGGUUUAUAUACAUUUUAAAGACGUUACAAUAACUAUUUUCAUGUAUAAGCUAUGUCUUAAACUUAGAAAAAAUAGAACUUCUAUAAUUUCCAACAAUUAAUUGACUCAAUGCAAAUGGUAAAAAGUCAGACUUUUAAAAAAGAGUUGAAAGUAGAUGCAGUUAAUUGAGUUUUAGUUAUGGAGGUUGUUGAAGAAAAAGCUGAUAAUUUCAGAUACCGCAGUAAUUCUGUUGGCAAUAAAUAAUUCAUCAGGCUCAAAGAGCAGUUACUUCAGGGGGAUCAGCUGUAACUGGUGUCUUCAUAAUAUAAAAUGGCUCUUCUUCUAGACACAAUGGUUAUUAGACUGAGUGCCAGAAUGAUUUUUUUUAAAUGCAAAAGAGUUUCCACCACAGAAUUUCACUACAUUGAUGAAGAUAAUAUUUCGGGGUACAACUUGUACUGAAGUGCUGAGUUUUGAACAAUUCUGAGAAAGAAAAUACUGGUGAUAAGAUUUCAUCUAGGGUCCAAAUUCCUAGAAUAGUAGUAACUUAAAUCUAAGCUUCGAUUAAGCGUUAGAAUGUCUUCAUCUGUGAAGAACAAUAAUAGUAUUUGACCCACUUAUUUCAUCAGGUUGUUCUGUAAUUCGUUAAGCUUCAUGAGAGACGGAACUUUUUCACAGCUAAAUUUCUAGGACCUGGAAAGUAGAAGGCCGUCAAAUGUAUUUACUGAAUCAGUGGAAUCAUAGAAUGUGUUCAAAAGUUUCUUGGCAAAUAGUAAAGCACUACAGGAACAUUAAUUACUGCUGUUCGUCAUCAUUUGUAAUUGGUCCGCUUUGUUGUUGACACUUGUGCCUUCCGUCAACGACGUCACUGCUGACGUAUUUCUGGUAAAAGGCACCAGAAAUUAACCUUGCAGACUUUUUAUUAGAACACUUCUCAUCUUUCCUGAUAAAAGCUGACAAAGGGCUGCUCACUUCGUUGAAGACAGAAGGAACAUUUGUAAUUAGUACACCUCUAUGUUAAAGGCCAGCUUAUACAAUUCUAUAAAAGGACAUUAAACAUCCCUCUGCAAGUUCAUUUGCUUAUUUCUCAGGCUAACUUAGCUUAUCUGAACCUGAAUUACCAUGAUAUCCAAAUAAAUGGGGAUUAAGGAAAGGUGUGUAGUAGUCUUAUAACUGAGAUAUAAUUAAUAAUUUAAUGUUGAUUUCCUUGAUGAAGUGAAGGUAUAUAAUUUUAUCAUUAGUGUAGACCUCUCUCCUCACUCUGGAAAUGUCUUCUUAAAAUACAACACACAGCUCACUCAUUCUUGUCACCGUCCUGUAUCUCAGGUUACCAGGAAUUCAGUUCAGAAAAUACAACACACUUGCAUUCAAAUCUACUGACAAAAUGGAAAGCGUAUUCUCUCUCUUCAAGGUUUUCUUCCUAAAGGUGGACUUCUUUUCUGCUCAACUGGUAGCAAUCCAGUAGUUUAUAGUAUAUUCUCUCUUCCUCCUCAUCUAUUUCCCCCCUCUUUACCGGAGCAUUCUCAAACAGUGCUAUAACAUCUUCUACUAAAAGCCAACAGACUCCUUCCCUUGAUCACCUACUCAAUUUCUGCUCUUCUUUAAGAACCACAACACCCCAAGAGGUGCCUAUGCCGUCUCCAUGUUCCCUUUUUCUGUCCUCACUUGAGUCCACCUUUCUCCUGAGCUCCAGACUCAGACACCCAGUUGCCUUCUUGGCACCUCUACUUUGAUGAUUAAUAGGCAUCUUAACCUUAAAUGUCCAAACAAGCUCCUGCUUACCUCACCUUCUUUUUUAAGCCUUCUUGUCUUAGCAAAUGGCAAAUCCCUUCUUCCAGUGGGAAUCAUCCUUUUGCUCACAUUUCCCAUCCAGGAGCAAAUCCUGUUGAAUCCACUUCUACAGCCUUUUCAUCCUAUCACUGCCUGAUCCAAGCCACUACCUUUUCUCACUUGGAUUAUUCCAUGAGCUUGCAAACUGGUCUCAUUGCUUUCACCCUUGCCUCCUUAGUGCUUACUCUCAAUACAACAGCCACCAUGACCCGUUUGAAAUGAAAGCUGCAUUGUGCUGCUCUGCUCCAUUUAACUCAGGAAAAUCCAGAGUCCUAACGAUGGCCUGCAAGCAUCUCUGUCCUCUGCCACCCAUCUCCGCUUCAUCUGUCCACCCUCCGCUCCUACUAUUCUUCUUGCUGGUUCUGGACAGCAAAGCACACUCCUGCUUCAAGCCUUUGAAUGUGUCUCCCCUUCUGCCUGAGAUGUUCUUCCUCCAGCUACUGUGGGACUAGCUCCCUUAUCUCCCGCAGGCUCUACUCCAAUGUCACCUUCUCAGAGAAGACUUCCCUGAGCAUCUGGCAUAUUACAUCCAAAUUAAGUCUAUGUUUCCCACACUGUAAACAGAUUAUUCUUUCAAGCGGAAGUUGAACGUUUAAAAAAAGUUUACAGCAUAGGAAUCUGUCUCCCUGGCACCCUGACAUCAUUCCAGGAUAGCUACUGCAUCUUCUGAGCGCAAGGCAUGGGUCACAAAGUAAGUAGGAAACGGUUCUGCUUUUUGUCACUGUUUAUGGAAUGCAGACUGUUACAGACACAAUCCCUUUUCCACUGUCAGGACCCGUAGUAAACUGGGAUUCAGAGGCUGAUGGUGGGUAUUGGAAUGGAGCAAGCUGACAGUAGCUCCAUCUACCCACCAACACCAAUUAGGCUCUGAAAACCUGCCAACACUGUGUAGUUAGUUUAAUAAUAAUAAAAAAAAAAAAGUGUGUGAAUAGAGCCCUCUGGUCAGAUUCUACCAGAGAUGAAAUUUCCUGCCUUGUUCUAGCCCUGAAAAAAAAAUCAUUUUUUUCUCGGUUUCUCCCUUACUUUUGUCAUAAUUCUUUCACACUUCGGGUUGUUCAGAAAUUGACCAGAAAGAAUCCAACAAGAAAUAAGAAAGGUUCAGGGUGAAAGCUAAAGGUAUAAUGAAGCCCAUUCCUUCUCUUGGAUGCCAGCACUUCUAAAAUAAAACAAAAACAAACUUGAAGACUGAAUAAAACAGCUUCAAAGGCAAAAGAAAAAAGGGCACCCUAACAAAGGAAGGCUCGGGCAACAGCCAGCGGACUUGGCGGCUCCUUGAGCAGAGACUAAAAAGAGAUCCAUCAAAAGACGGAGUCAAAGGGACUCAGUUCAGGCAAGGAUUAAUGCACCAAACACCUCUGUCUUUUCUUCCAGCAGUGACAGCCCUGCAGCCCCUUCCUCCAGGGGCACUAACGGAACGCUGCCUGGAAAUCAGAAAACUGGAACCCUCUGUCUCUCCAGAGUUGUCCAGAGGCCGUGAGGCAGCCUCGGAUCACUUCUGUCCCUCUGCUGUUGAUACAGAAAAGGGGACUCUGGACUCGAGAAAAUCCUGCUUCCUGUCAUUUCUCCACCUUUCUGAAGAGCAGUCCUAUCAAACCUUCAUGACCGUGACCUUCCCCUGUGUCCACAGGGAAAUUCUUGGACAGAUCACCUGCUGGAAGUGAAAAGUCAGGCCAACAGUUGUUCUCGGUGUGAGACCCACUAUUGCUGGUGUCAGCAUUAAUCCAUGUAGCAAAAGUGGGAAGGACUAAAUACCAUUUUUGGUCCCAUCAAAAGUCCAUUGAUGCUCAACACUGCUUCUUGCAUCUGGUAACAAAGAUGUAUUGGAUAAAUCCAUUCAUUCACCAACGUUGAGACCCCACUAUCUCCUCAUAUUAUCCUUAUGUGAAAUAUGGACAAACGAGGUCUAGUUGAAUGAUUAUCUUAAAUGAUGCCCAUCC